rnacentral:tRNA from 1 species
GGCCGGUUAGCUUAGUUGGUAGAGCGUGGUGCUAAUAACGCCAAGGUCGUGGGUUCGAUCCCCACCCUGGCCA